rnacentral:rRNA from 1 species
UGGGGAAUAUUGGACAAUGGGGGCAACCCUGAUCCAGCCAUGCCGCGUGAGUGAUGAAGGCCCUAGGGUUGUAAAGCUCUUUUGUGCGGGAAGAUAAUGACGGUACCGCAAGAAUAAGCCCCGGCUAACUUCGUGCCAGCAGCCGCGGUAAUACGAAGGGGGCUAGCGUUGCUCGGAAUCACUGGGCGUAAAGGGUGCGUAGGCGGGUCUUUAAGUCAGGGGUGAAAUCCUGGAGCUCAACUCCAGAACUGCCUUUGAUACUGAAGAUCUUGAGUUCGGGAGAGGUGAGUGGAACUGCGAGUGUAGAGGUGAAAUUCGUAGAUAUUCGCAAGAACACCAGUGGCGAAGGCGGCUCACUGGCCCGAUACUGACGCUGAGGCACGAAAGCGUGGGGAGCAAACAGGAUUAGAUACCCUGGUAGUCCACGCCGUAAACNAUGAAUGCCAGCCGUUGGUGGGUUUACUCACCAGUGGCGCAGCUAACGCUUUAAGCAUUCCGCCUGGGGGAGUACGGUCGCAAGAUUAAAACUUAAAUGAAUUGACGGGGUCAUAGCUGUUUCCU